rnacentral:lncRNA from 1 species
CUUUGUAGGUCUUUCUAAAAAAAAAUGCCUAUACUGAUGUCUUAAAGUAUUUCCCCUAUGUUUCCUCCUGCUAGUUUCAUAGUUUUCUGUCUUAUAUUUAGGCUUUUUAAAUGUAGCAGGAGAGAAUUCAAGGAGUGUUCCAAAAGUUGGUAGAGAAUGAAUACUAUGAAAAAAAAAAAAAAACUAUACAUAGAUUUAAAAUUUGGUGUAAAUUUCUUCUGCAAGAAAGUUACAUUUUAAUUAAAAUUUCCCAUGUACUUUCUAAAGUAUAGUCAUAGAUUCGUCAUAAUCAGCGGCUGUGGGGAGCAACUCAGACUAGACUAAGUUACUGGAAUUAAGACUUAUUCUACGCAUCUGCUCUCCCACAAUAUGGCGCUGAGAAAGGGAGCAAACAACUUCCAUGCAGCUGCCUCUUGCCAACAUGACUGAUGAGCUGCAGGAGCUGAUCCUGCUCCUGAUUGGAGGAGAGCAGUGUGCUCGGCGUGUGGGUAGCAGAGUUGGGAUUGGUGGAAGAGGACUAUAAAGGAGGAGAGAGACAACAUGCACCAGGGAACAUCCGGAUAACAUCUGAGCAGCCCCCGAGAGAGCCUGCCGGCCGGCGGUGUGCCACUCCUCCGCGGAAGUGGGGAAAGUGGCAGGGGGAGCCGCCCCUCCACGGAGGUGGAGGGGUCGGCAGCCAACCCGGGAAGGACCAGCAGCAAACCCGGGAAGGGCCGAGCAGACAACAGAACAGCGCAGGGUCUAGUGUUGUUCCUCCGCGAAGAGGGGGAGCGACAAGCGGCUAGUUUGGUGUGUGUUUAAGGAUAGGGAUGUGGUGAUUAUGGAGAUGUUGGGCAAAUGAUGCAAAAUUUCAAUUAGAAUGAAUAAAUUUCAGAGAUCUGUUGGGUGGCACAGUAACGAUAAAAAAAGCACAAUAUUACAGGAUGGUUCGGCAAAGCAGCCUGAGUUAUUUUUGUGGACAGAAUCAGAACACGCUGGCUCCAUAUCGUGAAAUUUUUAUUAAUUUUUUUCUUUUUUCUUUGUUAUUUCCUUACCUCUUCCUUUCUCCAGACUCCGUCCAAGGAGACGCUCUCCCUGGUCUUCCCCAGAUCCAUUUUAUGUCCCUGUAGAGAUAUUGUAGAAUCAAAACCCAAACCAUUUCCUAUUAAUACCUGCCUGUCAGAAUUCUACACUUCCUCUAUCUUAUCACAUGUAAUUACCCUUUAACACAUUGAAUCUAAAGUAAAUUGUAUUCUUUCCCUCUUUAGAGUAAUGAAGCAGCUAUUGUCAUCAUUAUCUGCUAGAAAUAAACAAUAAUUUCUGUUAUUUUGCUCA